rnacentral:precursor_RNA from 15 species
UUCUCUAGUGUUUUUUCGCCUUUAAAGUAGAGAGAAUAGAUGCUGUGAGUAUAUCUGUUGCAUUUAUAUCACAGUGGCUGUUCUUUUUGUACCUAAAUGGCCAGACAGCAUUAUUUUU